GUGCUAAGGUUUGAAGAUUGGAUCUUCUCUAUUUAUUUUUCUCUAUGUGAUUUCUGAAUCUAAAUUCUAUCUCAUAUAUAUCGAUCUUGUUUUAUGAUUUUAAGAUUUGAUCUUAUGCAUGCUUUGAUUAAAUUAGAUUUAAUCUGAAUUUUUAAAAUUUUUUACUACGUACUUAUUUCAAAAUUUUUACAUACAUGAAAUCAUGAAAUCCCAACAUACUAUAAUCCUCAUAGGCUGCACAUGGACUCAAAUGUGGCUCGACUAAUCUUUGUGCACCCAUGGGUAGGUUCUUAACCAAUUAUUUCAUCAAACAACUUAUAGCAGUUAAUUUUACCCCAGGAACCUCUUCAGCAAGUAUGUGGCACCUUCACUGAAAGUUCUGGUUAGGUCAACCAUUAAUAUGUCAGAAUUCAGUACAUCUGAUAAAUGAAUGAUCAGAUCUGAGUGUGGCUUGACCAACCUGACCAUCGAUAGAAAGAUACAUCUAAAUCAGCAUAUUAUGAAUGAUAACUCUGAAUAGCCAGAUGAGCACCAGUCAUGUGGUGCCUCCAAUGAUCAUCUCAACUAUUGGACUCAUUAUCAUCCAACUUAAUGGGAGGCUAUGAUCUAGUUAUUACCAUAACUAUUCAUUUUUAAAGACUUAAUAAUUUUAAAAGAUUCAGUUAGAUUCAUUAAGAGAAGAGAAA
rnacentral:lncRNA from 1 species